ensembl:lncRNA
CAGUCUGUCCGCUCUCAGGCCGGGGUAGGGGGACACGCGCGAGGUUCGGCUGUGCCCACGGUCCAGCCACUGCACAAGCCGGCCGUCUCCCAGAGUUCUGAGUAAUCGCCGGAAGCCCGGCCAGAAUCAAAGCGGACGCGAAGCAUCCACCCAGCUGGAAGAGCCGCCGCCGCCGGGGAAGCAGGAAUCUCCCAGAUACCCAGUGUGGGGGCGCUCCCGAGCCCUCGGGGUCCCCCGGCGGCCUCCUGGAGCCUGGAGCUCAGGCGGAGAGAUGCAGGGACGGCGGGAGGCCGGAGGCAGCCGUGGUCAGGGAAGCGAGGGGACCAGAAGGACCACCGGAGGUGUCCGGGCGGAAGGGCCGCGGGGCUGGGGUCGCCCCGGUCCCCGCCGCACCCUGGGGACCCCGGCCCGCUUGGUUUGGGCCUCAAAGGCAAGAAUACUGGAGUUCGUUGCCAUUUCCUUCUCCAGGAGAUCUUCCCGACCCAGGGAUUGAACUCAGGUCUCCUGCAUUGUAGGCAGACACUUUACCAUCUGAGCCACCAGGGAAAUGUGACCCUCAAAUAUAUGGCCAGCUGACUUUCAACCAGCAUCCUGAAAGGAUAGUCUUUUCAACAAGUGGUGGUGGAACAACUAGAGAGCCGGUAAGUGAAACCAACCAACCCACUCCCCCCAACCCUUCCUUUAAGAACUUUUAUUCUUCAAAUUCUCUUUAGGCCAAUAAAAUUAGAACUCAUUUACCAUUUUGGCAAUAUUGUUAAAACAAACAAACAAAAGACACACAUUAAGACAUACAUAAAUUGAGACAGAAAGGCAGAAAUCUCAUAGUUUUCCACUUGACAUUUAAAAUGUCUCUUUGAUGAUCCCCCCCGCCACCCAUUUUCUUGAAGUUCUAAUUUGCCCAACGGAGAAGGCAAUGGUACCCCACUCCAGUACUUUUGCCUGAAAAUCCCAUGGAUGGAGGAGCCUGGUAGGCUGCAGUCCAUGGGGUCGCUAAAAGUCGGACACAACUGAAGCGACUUCACUUUCACUUUUCACUUUCAUGCAUUGGAGAAGGAAAUGGCAACCCACUCCAGUGUUCUUGCCUGGAGAAUCCCAGGGACUGCGGAGCCUGGUGGGCUGCCGUCUAUGGGGUCACACAGAGUUGGACACGACUGAAGUGACUUAGUAGUAGUAGUAAUUUGCCCAAGGCUGAGGUCUCAGGCAAAGUGGGCUGUGUAUUUCAUGUAUUUCAGGGACAUGAAGAGGGUUAACUUCAAGCUUUUCCCUAGGCAGUCUUUUUAACAAACUUGUUGUUUUUAAUUGCAUAUGCAAAAAGAACUUGUUUUGCAGUUUCCAAGAAAAAAUUUUUUUUCAGUUUAAC